rnacentral:lncRNA from 1 species
AGCCCCACCAUUGUGUCAGUGUAGGGUGUCAAUAGUUGCUUCAGAUUGUUGCUGGAAAAUCUGCCCCUUGUACUAUUAUGUGGGCCUACCCCCGAUCUCAAGCUGUGGACCUAAAAAUAUCAGAAAAUUGCAUGUUACUGACCUGGAAGUUUGGGAGGGGCCUCAAAGCCCGUCUAGUGAGUUCCCCUACCAAUGCACAAAAUCCUUUACAACAGCACUAAAAGAUCAAUUAUGUGAGUGACGAUUUUGUUCUUUUGUUAUAGUAUCAACAUUCUUUAUUGUGCUUUCAGGUAAACAGGCUGGUGUGUCCUCUCGUGUUGCUUCUGUUUGGCCUGACCUCUUUAGCCAGUCUAGGAUCUACUGGCUGCCCAUACAUGCUCAAGACUCCAUUUGAAGCAGAAGAAAACGUAUGUGCUCAACUAAAGAUGAUAUCCUCUUCACAUGGGCUCUUUCCUAAGUAGAUGAUUUCGGGCUAAAUUUAGCAUGCGCAGGAUGAACAGAGGCAGUGGUAUUCGGAUGAAUAUGGAAAUACAGACACUUAGUGUGACAGCCCCCGAUGGUUGCAGUAGGACCCUCAUAUCUGUGGGGGAUUGGUUCCAAGGCCCCCUAUGGAUCCUGAAAACUGCAGACAGUAGCUGCCCAUUCUGGCUGUGCUUUCUUGCAAGGUGCUGUGGCCUGGAGGUAGUCCAAGGCAGCAGUGGAGGAGGGAUCCCAACUUCUCGACUGUGACUGAAGGUCCCAGUGCAUGGACCAGAAGCAGAAGUGGGGCAGGACAAUGAGCUGCCUGCAAGGGAAGGUAAUCUCCCAUGAGGGAAGGGAGCCAGAAGGGAAGGGAAGGGAGGCAUA